rnacentral:misc_RNA from 1 species
ACAAACUUGGUCAUUUAGAGGAAGUAAAAGUCGUAACAAGGUUUCCGUAGGUGAACCUGCGGAAGGAUCAUUCUUUGUUUUGGUGCGAAACAAGUGCGUCAGCGCUUGUUUUUAGCCCAUAUACACGCGACUCUUUUUUCGACAAAAAAAGAGUUUUCUUUUUACAUAAAAAUUUGAGCUAGACUUUUUUUGCUUAAAGAAAAAAGUCCCAGCAAUGGAUCUCUAGGCUCUUGCAUCGAUGAAGAACGCAGC